GACGAACGCUGGCGGCAUGCCUAACACAUGCAAGUCGAACGAAAACUUCGGGCCUUGGUGCGCACCUGGGCGUGACAAGGGGGAACCUACCCGUGGGUACCCUAUCCCUCACCGAGGGGGGUCCUAAUACCACAGGAGGUCUUCCCAGCAAGGAGUUCUCGCCGUUGGGUGGGCCCGCGUUAGAUUCGCUAGUUGGUAGGGUAAAAGCCGACCAAGGCGACGUUCCAUGGCUGGUCUGAGAGGAUGGUCUGCCACACUGGGACUGAGACACGGCCCAGACUCGUACGGGAGGCAGCAGUGGGGAAUACUGUAGGAUGGGCGAAAGUCUGAUCAAGCAACGCCGCGUGAGUGAUGAAGGCCUUAGGGUUGUAAAUCUCUUUGAGCCGGGAUGAUAAUGACAGUACCGGGAGAAUAAGCACCGGCUAACUACGUG
rnacentral:rRNA from 1 species